AGCGCUGCCGCUUGUUGAUCGCGGCGCCCGGCGCCCUCCGCGCCUCCCGGGCCCCGCAGGCAGCCCCGCGCCCGGGCUUGCCGCUGCGCUGCGGCUUGCGUUCUUCCAUUGCAACAUUGCUUUUUUUUUUUUUUAAUUUAUUUCCUUCUCUCUCUUUUUUUUUUUUUUUUUUUUUUUUUUUUUUUUUUUUUGCAUGAAGAUGGCGGCGCCUCUCGCCAGCAAAGCAGGGUCCGCCGGCACCAACAGCAAGCCUCCUUUCCCGGAGCUGGAUUUCCGAUCGGGAGCCAGGGUGGAGGAAUUGAAUAAACUCAUCCAGGAAUUCACCAAGCACGAUCAGAGGGAGUACGACGAUCAGCGAGCCCUGGAGAUCCACACGGCGAAAGACUUCAUCUUCUCCAUGCUGGGCAUGGUUCAGAAACUUGACCAGAAGCUUCCUGUAGCCAAUGAGUACCUGCUCCUUUCAGGUGGUGUGCGGGAAGGCGUGGUGGACAUUGAUCUUGAUGAGCUGAAUGUUUAUGCGCGAGGCACAGACUAUGACAUGGACUUCACCCUGCUGGUGCCUGCACUGAAGCUGCAUGACCGCAACCAACCGGUGACGCUGGACAUGCGCCACUCGGCGCUGUGCCACUCCUGGCUGAGCCUGCGGCUGUUUGAUGAAGGAACUAUCAGCAAAUGGAAGGAUUGCUGCACCAUUGUGGACCAUAUCAACGGAGCUACCAAUUACUUCUUCUCUCCAACUAAAGUUGCGGACUGGUUCUAUGACUCCAUUAGCAUUGUCCUCUCUGAGAUCCAGAAGAAGCCUCAGCGAGGGAUGCCAAAGGUGGAGAAGGUAGAAAAGAAUGGGACGAUCAUAUCCAUCAUCUUGGGAGUGGGCAGCAGCCGAAUGCUGUACGACAUUGUUCCUGUGGUGUCCUUCAAAGGCUGGCCAGCUGUGGCCCAGAGCUGGCUAAUGGAGAACCACUUCUGGGAUGGAAAGAUCACAGAGGAGGAAGUCAUAAGUGGGUUUUACUUGGUGCCUGCGUGUUCCUACAAGGGGAAAAAGGACAAUGAAUGGAGGCUGUCAUUUGCCAGAAGUGAAGUUCAGCUGAAAAAGUGCAUCUCCAGCAGCCUCAUGCAAGCCUAUCAAGCCUGCAAAGCUAUCAUCAUCAAAUUGCUGUCCCGCCCCAAAGCCAUUAGUCCAUAUCACUUGCGGAGCAUGAUGCUAUGGGCUUGUGACAGGCUACCAGCCAACUACUUGGCCCAGGAAGACUAUGCCGCCCACUUCCUCCUGGGUCUUAUCGAUGAUCUCCAGCACUGCUUGGUCAACAAGAUGUGUCCUAACUACUUCAUCCCCCAGUGCAACAUGCUGGAGCACCUCUCUGAAGAAACCGUCAUGCUGCACGCACGGAAGCUGUCCUCAGUCCGCUCAGACCCCGCUGAACACCUCCGAACUGCCAUUGAACACGUCAAAGCAGCCAACCGGCUAACGCUAGAACUCCAACGGCGAGGCAGCACCACCAGCAUCCCCUCGCCACAGUCAGAUGGAGGGGACACCAACCAGCCUGAUGACCGACUAGCCAAAAAGUUGCAACAGCUAGUGACUGAGAACCCAGGGAAGUCCAUCUCCGUCUUCAUUAACCCAGAUGAUGUCACAAGGCCCCACUUCAGAAUCGAUGAUAAAUUUUUCUGAGCUUUCGUCAGUGUUUUGGGGGAUUUUUUCUUCUGUUUCAUUAUUUUGAAAUACUUACAGAGUGCAGGUUUUUUCAGUUGUUUUUUCCUUGAUGACUUAGUCUCUUGUUUUUUACAUAUCCAGCAUAGAUUGGAUCUGUUGAGAACAACCUGAAUAAAUUAUAAUUCCUGGUUCUGCAGGACGGUGCAGAUUUUGAAAUAGUACAUUACAAUUUCAUAUGCUGCUUUGUUGGUUUUUUUUUUUUUUUUUUUUUUUUUUUUUUGAGGCAUCCAUCCGCAUUUGUGAGUAGUUUCUAAAGGCGAACAUACACUAUAGACAUACAUACCAGUGUUAGACAGAUUUUUUUUUUUUUCAAGCUUCCAGAAUUUCUAUAUACUGUUGGACCCCUGAAAGGGAGAACUCAUUUUCUGCUGUGUAGGAAAUUCACUUUUUGUUUUUUUUCUCCAUGAGCUUCCAUCACCCUAAAGAAAUGAGAGAGACUUUGGGUUGGAAAGCACUACUGGUAAUUUGAUGAGGCCAAAUCUAGCGGGCUGAAGCCCAGUUCAUCUGUUCUUCACACUUUUCCUACCUGGGGAGAACGCUGACUUUAGAGAUAUUGAUGGUUUUGGGAGGAAGAGUUGUUUCUGUUUUGAUCUACUUUUUGAAUGUAAUUGUUCAUAAUUGGACCUUGUGUAGUCCAGAGGGUUGUUUCUGCUGCUUUCCCGUGCGGAAUAAGGUUAUGGAAUGUUAGUUUUAGUGUGUGUAAUUAUUCAAAGCCUUAUUUAAAUUCUAUUAAAGAACAUACCAUUAUAAAUGUUAAUUGCACUAAUGAAAUCUCUGCCAUUACCUCAGUCCCACUGUUUGUGUUUCUUUCAUGAAUUAGCUCUGUUAUUAGGUACCAGUAUUGCGGAAUGCUCAAGGCCCUUUGGGUCUCAUGGUUUCAGGUGAUCUCUUGAUUGUCUUUUGUAAAAGACUUCCUUGUUAGCCCUGCGAUGUUUGAGAAGUCAGGUUUUUGCAUUGGCGUAUUUCUUUGGAUGCGUGUCGUGUGUUGCAGUGCAUAUUGCAUUAAUAUGUAUUGCAUGUUGUUGAAACAAGAUAAAGACGUAAUGCUAAAGAAGUGGUAUGUGCAAAGUGAGUCGGCCAGACCUCGAGCAAAGGAGCUGUCUUGCUUCUCUAAUGCAUGUAUGAGGCCUGAUCCUUCAUGGCAUUUACCAUUCCCGUGACUCCCGUGGACUUUUCUGACUCACCGUGGGACAUGAGAGAUCUUACUUUGGUCUCCUGUUUGCAGAAAUUGUUUGUGUGUAAACUUGUAGUGCGACAGUAACGAGGGUUAGUCUGAGCCAAAAAUAAUUCUAAGUAUAAUAAUAAUAUCAAGGAUGAUAAUUCCAAGGAUUCCACGUUCAAGGAUAGAGUGGCUUUUUUGUGCCUGGCUGGCCAGUGACUGAUAUUUAGGCCUUAAAUCAGCAAUUUGGGCUUAUUGAUUUUCCCAGAGAAGCUGUUCUGAUCCAAACUUGAUGCAUGUUUUAAAAUGUGAUUAUUAGAGCAGCUUGAAGUAUUUUUAAAAUACGUGACAGACAAAUGAGGAGCAUAUAAAUGAGGAGUAAAUUCUAACAGAUAAAAAUCCUGUUUGAAAAAUGUGUCACUUCUUUCUCCUAGCCUGUCAGGUAAUGAAACCAGGCUGGUGGAGCAGCACACCAGCAGCAUUGGAAACUGUGUUAUUUUGUCAGAUGGCAGGGAGGUUUUGAUGCCUAUCUAUUGCCCAAGUCAUAUCUUAAAACGAAAUUUUGGCUCCUCCAUCUCUUAGGCAUACUUUGUUUCACUGCUGUGGCCAAGAUGCUCAAAUUUACCUGAAUUUACUGGUACACACUGAUAUGAGCCUGAAGAAGCUCUCCGAAGUUGUUGGCUAGAUGAAGUGGAUGAGGAUUUAACUUCAAAGCACAACUGGCAGUGAUGGUGAGCCCUGGUGCAGCUGCAGUGAUGGCCUGGAGAAGGACAUGUAUUGACUUCAGUGAGGCAGAAGUCACUGGCUCCUACCAGUGUGGCUGUUGCCAAAGAUGAGUCUCUAUGUAAAUCCAUGUACCUGCCAGCAGAGGCUGGAGGACCAGCUGGGAAUCCUCCCCAGGCGUACUUGGAAAAUGUAGAUUCAUUGAAAUCAUCUUUUCUCCAAUCUCCAGGACUUCUGUCUGCUGGGAAGAGAGCCUGAGCUCCACAAUGAAAUGUCCCACUGCCACAUGAGAGAUCUGCUCCACACAAGGCACCAGUAGCCUGGCAGGCAGAGCCCCUGGGAGCCCCACUGUCUGCUCCUGCUCCUGAGUUAUGCAGCUCUCAGCCUUCUUCAUGCCAGUUCAACAUCCCGAUGACCAGCAGUUUGGCUGGCCCAUGUCAAGCUCUGGUUCAGCAUGGGAUACGUUUUGCCAGUUUGUUUUGUAUUACAGAGAGUGUGUUGGAAAGGUCAGUGGGCAACUGAGCACAGUGAUGUUCAGAUUCUCUUGACGUUGGCUCGGUGAUUAGAAAUAUUCAGCAUGUAAAUAGCUUGUUCAACAUCAGCAAGUACAUCAUCUCCCUCCUGCCAGCUUGCUUAGGGUGAGCUAAUGGACUUUUAACAUUAUGCAGCUGAGAGAGUUGCUGUCUCUAAUAGCUCCUGAUUAAACUC